rnacentral:rRNA from 1 species
CAGCGGCGGACGGGUGAGUAACACGUGGGUAACCUGCCUGUAAGACUGGGAUAACUCCGGGAAACCGGGGCUAAUACCGGAUAACUCAUUUCCUCGCAUGAGGAAAUGUUGAAAGGUGGCUUUUAGCUAUCACUUACAGAUGGACCCGCGGCGCAUUAGCUAGUUGGUGAGGUAACGGCUCACCAAGGCGACGAUGCGUAGCCGACCUGAGAGGGUGAUCGGCCACACUGGGACUGAGACACGGCCCAGACUCCUACGGGAGGCAGCAGUAGGGAAUCUUCCGCAAUGGACGAAAGUCUGACGGAGCAACGCCGCGUGAGUGAUGAAGGUUUUCGGAUCGUAAAACUCUGUUGUUAGGGAAGAACAAGUACCGUUCGAAUAGGGCGGUACCUUGACGGUACCUAACCAGAAAGCCACGGCUAACUACGUGCCAGCAGCCGCGGUAAUACGUAGGUGGCAAGCGUUGUCCGGAAUUAUUGGGCGUAAAGCGCGCGCAGGUGGUUCCUUAAGUCUGAUGUGAAAGCCCACGGCUCAACCGUGGAGGGUCAUUGGAAA